CAGUCGCCGCGGUAAUACGGAGGGUGCAAGCGUUAAUCGGAAUUACUGGGCGUAAAGCGCACGCAGGCGGUUUGUUAAGUCAGAUGUGAAAUCCCCGGGCUCAACCUGGGAACUGCAUUUGAAACUGGCAAGCUAGAGUCUCGUAGAGGGGGGUAGAAUUCCAGGUGUAGCGGUGAAAUGCGUAGAGAUCUGGAGGAAUACCGGUGGCGAAGGCGGCCCCCUGGACGAAGACUGACGCUCAGGUGCGAAAGCGUGGGGAGCAAACAGGAUUAGAUACCCCGGUAGUCCCUGUCUCUUAUAC
rnacentral:rRNA from 1 species